rnacentral:tRNA from 1 species
GGCCUCUUUGCUUAAUAGGUAGAGUACCCGAUUGUCAAUCGGGGGUGUACCAGUUCAAGUCUGGUAGAGGUCG